UCAUUUGACGUUUUUUUUAUGGCUGUAUUAAAGCACUAAAAUUUUCACCUCACUUGAUAUUUCUUUUUGUAGCCCGGCUUUCUAAGAGGAGAAAGUAUCUACUUAAGGGACUGAUCAGUGUUGAGUCUAGCACAAUUAAUGGUGUGUUUGAAGUAACCAAGAGUAUCACUGUGGACAUUCUAAACAGUGAGGGCAGUGUAGUUAAUGCUACCAUAGCUAAAGUUAGUUCCAAUGACAAUGAUCAAACCAGUAAAGUUAGAUCUUGAUUGUUUCAAUCACCUUCUCAUUGCUGUUAGAAGCUGUUUUUGCCUUUUGCUUUAUUGAUGAUUCUAAUGCAAUAUUGUGCUUGAUUACAAUGGAUUGAAACAUAAACCAAUUCCUAACACUCUUCCAGAACCAGCUCUACUUUCUUCGCUGAGACCCCUGAGUGAGUUCAGUCUGCUGCGGUUAAGCUCCAAAAGGUGCACAAGAGUUACAGGACUCGCAACCUUGCACAUUGUGCAGUGGUUGUGGAGCAGCUAUGGAGGAAAGCAUUGGACUUUGCUGCUCUAAAGCAGGUUCUGUGUCAUUCUUUGAUGUUGAGAAACCAGAAACCGCUGUUUCAAGGUGGGUGAGGGCAAAUAAUACAGCAGCCAAGGCCCACGGUGCUUGUACACCAUAAGAAUUCCAAGCUUCUGCAUAACGUGAUUUUAUAUCUUCUUGAUCUGCUGGAGAAUUAUUUCGAUAUUGAUUAAGAAGAAUUACUAAUAGAAAAAUUAAGAAGGCUAAGAAAUCAAGAGAUUAAUUACUGAGUGCAGGUGGGAAAGGGUUUGUCCAAGUAGAAGUAUGAGAAGGCUCAAAAACUGGCGCUGCAAUACUGGGUUAAUGGCUGCCACUUCAAGAUCAAGGCCAUGGAUUUUCCUGCAAGACCAUGGACAUGGAGCAGCCUGGCCUUCAACAUAGCUUGAGAAGUAGUAGUACUGAAAAGAUUUCUAAACCUUGUGUGAAGCCGGGAAUGGGAAUUAAAAGAAAACUGAGAAGAUUGGUGUUUAAAGGGUACGAGUGCGAGGGUGAAAUAAAACAUCAUGAUGUAUGGUUUAUGCCAUUAGUUACUGUGGAUUACAGUUGGAGAUGUGGGCUGAUGCCGGUGGCAACCUGGAUGACAUGUGAACAACAAAUGCAAAAUCACCGAAUUUGCUGUGGAUUAAAAGAAAAGCGUUCAAUGCUGUGGCUACUGCAGUUUCAAGUGCCGCUGCUCAUAUGAGAUUGAUGGAUUGUUGGUUGAUUCAUGUAUAGGAAUAGUAUUCAAGAACUCUUGAACCCCUCGUAGAGAAGGGCCCUAUACACACCACCUUUAAUGUAGAACUUUUCUUUGUUGCCAAUUUGUAAUGUACUAUUUCUUCAAGCUGUAUGCUGCUUUGAUGCUUGCUGCUGUUCCUUCUGUUUGCUGCCUGGAUGUUUGUUGCUGCUGUUGUGGCUAGCCAUGUUGUCAUGCUAUUCAUUUCUAUGGAGCCAUGUAUUACUUCAUUGUUAUUAAUAGAAUAUUUUGUGUUUUGUAAUGUCAUGUAUAAAUAUUAAACAAUGUAA